rnacentral:rRNA from 1 species
CCUACGGGGGGCAGCAGUGAGGAAUAUUGGUCAAUGGGCGGAAGCCUGAACCAGCCAAGUAGCGUGCAGGAUGACGGCCCUACGGGUUGUAAACUGCUUUUAUCCGGGAAUAACGCGCCUUACGUGUAGGGCUUUGCAUGUACCGUAUGAAUAAGGACCGGCUAAUUCCGUGCCAGCAGCCGCGGUAAUACGGAAGGUCCGGGCGUUAUCCGGAUUUAUUGGGUUUAAAGGGAGCGUAGGCCGCAUGUCAAGCGUGCUGUGAAAUGUCCGGGCUCAACCCGGGCCUUGCAGCGCGAACUGGCGUGCGUGAGUCCGCGGAAGGCAGGCGGAAUUCGUCGUGUAGCGGUGAAAUGCUUAGAUAUGACGAAGAACCCCGAUUGCGAAGGCAGAUUGCUGCAGCGGAACUGACGCUGAUGCUCGAAAGCGCGGGUAUCAAACAGGAUUAGAUACCCGGGUAGUC